GAGUUUGAUCAUGGCUCAGGAUGAACGCUAGCGGCAGGCUUAACACAUGCAAGUCGAGGGGCAUCGGGAGGGAAGCUUGCUUUCCUUGCCGGCGACCGGCGCACGGGUGAGUAACACGUAUGCAACCUGCCCUCUUCAGGGGGACAACCUUCCGAAAGGGAGGCUAAUCCCGCGUAUAUCGGUUUCGGGCAUCCGUUAUCGAGGAAAGAUUCAUCGGAAGAGGAUGGGCAUGCGGCGCAUUAGCUUGACGGCGGGGUAACGGCCCACCAUGGCGACGAUGCGUAGGGGUUCUGAGAGGAAGGUCCCCCACACUGGUACUGAGACACGGACCAGACUCCUACGGGAGGCAGCAGUGAGGAAUAUUGGUCAAUGGGAGGAGAUCCUGAACCAGCCAAGCCGCGUGAGGGAAGACGCCCUAUGGGUUGUAAACCUCUUUUGUCGGAGAACAAAACCCGGGCGUGUCCCGGACUGCGUGUAUCCGAAGAAAAGCAUCGGCUAACUCCGUGCCAGCAGCCGCCGUAAU
rnacentral:rRNA from 1 species